UCCGAGUUGACCCCGGCAGUCUCCUAUGAGUCCCCGGCAUAAUCCGCUGGCAACAUAGAACGAGGGUUGCGCUCGUUGCGGGACUUAACCCAACAUCUCACGACACGAGCUGACGACAGCCAUGCAGCACCUGUGUUCUGGCUCCCUUUCGGGCACACCCCCAUCUCUGGGGGCUUCCGUACAUGUCAAGGGUAGGUAAGGUUAUUCGCGUUGCAUCGAAUUAAUCCACAUCAUCCACCGCUUGUGCGGGUCCCCGUCAAUUCCUUUGAGUUUUAAUCUUGCGACCGUACUCCCCAGGCGGGAUGCUUAAUGCGUUAGCUGCGCCACUGACGAGUAAACCCGCCAACGGCUAGCAUCCAUCGUUUACAGCGUGGACUAC
rnacentral:misc_RNA from 1 species